rnacentral:rRNA from 1 species
AUUGAACGCUGGCGGCAUGCUUUACACAUGCAAGUCGAACGGUAACAGGUCUUCGGAUGCUGACGAGUGGCGAACGGGUGAGUAAUACAUCGGAACGUGCCUAGUAGUGGGGGAUAACUACUCGAAAGAGUAGCUAAUACCGCAUGAGAUCUACGGAUGAAAGCAGGGGACCUUCGGGCCUUGUGCUACUAGAGCGGCUGAUGGCAGACUAGGUAGUUGGUGGGGUAAAGGCUUACCAAGCCUGCGAUCUGUAGCUGGUCUGAGAGGACGACCGGCAACACUGGGACUGAGACACGGCCCAGAAUCCUACGGGAGGCAGCAGUGGGGAAUGUUGGACAAUGGGCGAAAGCCUGAUCCAGCAAUGCCGCGUGCAGGAUGAAGGCCCUCGGGUUGUAAACUGCUUUUGUACGGAACGAAAAGCCUGGGGCUAAUAUCCCCGGGUCAUGACGGUACCGUAAGAAUAAGCACCGGCUAACUACGUGCCAGCAGCCGCAGUAA